AGCACCGAAUCCUUCACCAUCUCGGUGACAGGAAAUGUGGUGUUUAGGCCGUACCUUGUCCCGACACGUCUCUCCUCAAGUCCACUUGAUUGUGGCCCCAGGCCCAGAGAGGGUGUAAGGCCCGUGGAGGCGAGACGUUCGGUACCUGGUGCGUCCUUAGAGUCGGGUUGUUUGGGAAUGCAGCCCUAAGCGGGUGGUAAACUCCAUCCAAGGCUAAAUACCAGCACGAGUCCGAUAGCGAAGAAGUACCGCGAGGGAAGGUUGAAAAGAACUUUGAAGAGAGAGUUCAAGAGUACGUGAAACCGCUGAGAGGCAAACUGGUGGAACUGAAAUGGUCCCGAGGAAUUCAGCCGUUGGUCGUUGCACAGUCUUUGGUGAUUGAUCUAACGACGGCGCCAUUGAAUGACGUUUCGAUCAUCGGUGCACUUUCCUCGCCUGGGCCCGACCACGACCGGUGAGCUGAUCUGUCUGUCGUGCUUGGAAGAUAGCGCCGUCUUCGGAAGGCGUGUUAUAGACAGGCAUACGGAGCAGUCGGCGCACUGGAUGAUAGUGCCUGCCCAUCUGGGCUCAUAUGGUGGUUGUUUUGUUGGCGAGUUCUGAUGUCACUACUUCGGUAGAGUCGUUAGACUCUGUUGGCAUUAUGGCUGUCCUCUAUGAUUGGCACUGUUAAGUCUGUGGUUGUGAAGUAGGUAGUCCACCUGACCCGUCUUGAAACACGGACCAAGGAGUCUAACAUGUGCGCGAGUCAUUGGGUUCACGAAACCUAAAGGCGCAGUGAAGGUAAAGAUCUGUUUUGGCAGAUUGAGGUGGGAUGCCGGGUUACGCGCCCGGCCGCACUACCGGCCCGUUCUAUAUGUCUUUCAUAGGAGCGGAGCAAGAGCGUACACGUUGGGACCCGAAAGAUGGUGAACUAUGCUUGCGC
rnacentral:rRNA from 1 species